UACGAAGGGGGCUAGCGUUGCUCGGAAUUACUGGGCGUAAAGGGCGCGUAGGCGGAUAUUUAAGUUAGAGGUGAAAGCCCAGGGCUCAACCCUGGAACAGCCUUUAAUACUGGAUAUCUUGAGUUCGGGAGAGGUUAGUGGAACUCCGAGUGUAGAGGUGAAAUUCGUAGAUAUUCGGAAGAACACCAGUGGCGAAGGCGACUCACUGGCCCGAUACUGACGCUGAGGCGCGAAAGCGUGGGGAGCAAACAGG
rnacentral:rRNA from 1 species